rnacentral:rRNA from 1 species
CGAUUUUAAUGGUUAAUUCCGUUAAAGAACGAGACCACAGCCUACUAAAUAGUACGUGUUAUGGUAACAUAGUAUGAGACUUCUUAGAGGGACAUUUCGGGUUUACCGAAAGGAAGUUGGUGGCAAUAACAGGUCUGUGAUGCCCUUAGAUGUUCUGGGCCGCACGCGCGAUACACUGACGACUUCAACAAGUUUUUUGGCCUUGCCAAAUUUCCUUGGCCGGAAGGUCUGGGUAAUCUUUUAAAAGGGCGUCGUGAUGGGGCUAGAUUCUUGCAAUUAUUAAUCUCCAACGAGGAACC